AGAUGUGAGAGAGAUCUGGCUGAGACAUCUGUCACCCCAUCAAUCACCAGGGUUGAUUCAACUAAUCUGGAUGUCCACUUCCUCACUCUCCUCAUCCAUGUGUGUCCCUCCGGAAGCUGAGCGCUCUGUGGAAGAGGAUGACCGUCCUGGAUAGAGGACUCUUCUUGGGUCAAGGGUAUAUGAGUAGCUGCACUCCACUGCUACAACCUCCAAAUAAGCUCUCAAGACUCUAUGAAGUAAGAAAAAUAAGAUAUAUGUAAAUAUUCCACUAUUAAGUUGUAUCUAUUAAGAUAAUAUGGUAUUGACC
rnacentral:snRNA from 1 species